rnacentral:rRNA from 1 species
GUGGGGAAUAUUGGACAAUGGGCGCAAGCCUGAUCCAGCAAUGCCGCGUGCAGGAAGAAGGCCUUCGGGUUGUAAACUGCUUUUGUACGGAACGAAACGGUCCGGGUUAAUACCCUGGGCUAAUGACGGUACCGUAAGAAUAAGCACCGGCUAACUACGUGCCAGCAGCCGCGGUAAUACGUAGGGUGCAAGCGUUAAUCGGAAUUACUGGGCGUAAAGCGUGCGCAGGCGGUUUUGUAAGACAGUGGUGAAAUCCCCGGGCUCAACCUGGGAACUGCCAUUGUGACUGCAAGGCUAGAGUGCGGCAGAGGGGGAUGGAAUUCCGCGUGUAGCAGUGAAAUGCGUAGAUAUGCGGAGGAACACCGAUGGCGAAGGCAAUCCCCUGGGCCUGCACUGACGCUCAUGCACGAAAGCGUGGGGAGCAAACAGGAUUAGAAACCCCGGUAGUCC